rnacentral:lncRNA from 1 species
GUGGCCCGAAACCGCUGCAAUCCCUGAAACCACCUCCCUGGAGCUUGUAACUGGUGUCUGCAGUGUGGGGGCCUCAGGUGGACCAUGCCCUUAACCUGCGAAACCCGACCCAAUGCUGAGGAAUGAGUGUCACAAUUGCAUUGAGAGCAAGUUCAAAGCGAAGGUGACGGUACAGGGCCUGUGGCUGAGAGAUAUGGACCUGGGACGGGAGGCUGCACAGAACGUCUGCAGAGUGCACAGAAGAAACAUCGGGCAGCCUGCGCGCCUCCUGCACCUGAGGAGCUGCGAGGGCAAUG